AUGGAGAAACGGUAUAGUGAUGCUACCAUUGUUCAUGCCCUUAGACGCCGGCGAGGCGAUGAUCUCCACCUUGUCUGUCUGCUGUUUCACUGGCUAGUGGAGGGGCUUGGUGUGGUUGCUACUCUAUUGAAUAAGGUGGUUUUGAUCUUUCCUCACCAUGACGACAUUCACUCUGAAGGCACCGCUGAGCUGAUGGCAUCGUCUGCUCACCGUCCGUUUGAAGCAGUGGGCUUUUAUGCUUCCUGUGCAAGCGCCGGCAAGUGGGUUAUAUUGGUGUUGGUUCAAGGUUGGUGGCCUGACGGUGGCGGAUCUGGUGUUCUUCCCCGACAACGACGGUAG
rnacentral:rRNA from 1 species